rnacentral:rRNA from 1 species
AGCAGCCGCGGUAAUUCCAGCUCCAAUAGCGUAUAUUAAAGUUGUUGCAGUUAAAAAGCUCGUAGUUGAAUUUCGGGAUCAGUUCGCUGGUCGUGCCUCUGGUAUGUACUGGUGUUACUGGUUCCUCCCUUCUGACGAACUGUCAUGCCAUUUAUUUGGUGUGGCAGGGAAUCAGGACUGUUACUUUGAAAAAAUUAGAGUGUUUAAAGCAGGCUCGCGCUUGAAUACAUUAGCAUGGAAUAAUGAAAUAGGACGUUCGAUCCUAUUUUGUUGGUUUCUAGGAUUGACGUAAUGAUUAAUAGGGAUAGUUGGGGGCAUUAGUAUUCAAUUGUCAGGGGUGAAAUUCUUGGAUUUAUUGAAGACUAACUACUGCGAAAGCAUUUGCCAAGGAUGUUUUCAUUAAUCAAGAACGAAAGUUAGGGGAUCGAAGACGAUCAGAUACCGUCGUAGUCUUAACCAUAAACUAUGCCGACUAGGGAUCGGAUGAUGUUAAUUUUAUAAUGACUCA